AUUGAACGCUGGCGGCAGGCCUAACACAUGCAAGUCGAGCGGUUGAGGGGAGCUUGCUCCCUGAUUCAGCGGCGGACGGGUGAGUAAUGCCUGGGAAUCUGCCUAUUAGUGGGGGACAACGUUUCGAAAGGAACGCUAAUACCGCAUACGUCCUACGGGAGAAAGCAGGGGACCUUCGGGCCUUGCGCUAAUAGAUGAGCCUAGGUCGGAUUAGCUAGUUGGUGAGGUAAUGGCUCACCAAGGCGACGAUCCGUAACUGGACUGAGAGGAUGAUCAGUCACACUGGAACUGAGACACGGUCCAGACUCCUACGGGAGGCAGCAGUGGGGAAUAUUGGACAAUGGGCGAAAGCCUGAUCCAGCCAUGCCGCGUGUGUGAAGAAGGUCUUCGGAUUGUAAAGCACUUUAAGUUGGGAGGAAGGGUUGUAGAUUAAUACUCUGCAAUUUUGACGUUACCGACAGAAUAAGCACCGGCUAACUCUGUGCCAGCCGCCGCAGUAACAC
rnacentral:rRNA from 1 species